AUGAAAAUGGAAAGCAACAAUCCAAGAUGUUUUCCUCAAUCUUUUUUUUCUCCUCUUUUCCAUCUUGCACUGUUUCUCCAUCCCAUUCAUUCCAAAUGGAUCUCACCCCUAAGAUCGGAGACUUGGCAAGUUUUAGACCGUGUAAAAUACCAUGAGCUAUACCCAGUUUGCCUUCCCCUGUUUUACUUGGAAAGCAAUGAGGGAGACACAAGUGCAGUGCUUGGGUCAGGUACAAAUUCUGCAUUCAGGGAAUGUGCUCAGACAGUGUGUGACCCUCAGCAGGGACAAGGCACAGCAGCAGCCAAGGGCAUUCCUGUGCCCCUGUGCAGGAGUCAAGACUCUGGCUCUUGGCUCAACAUGGCAAAGUUCCCGUGUUUGGCCAGGCUCAGGGGCUGCCCAGGGAGCGCGGGGCUCGGGGUGGGUCGAGCGGGCAAUGGACAAACGGACACGGGAACAAACGGUCCCGGUGUUUCAGUUGCAGCGGCAGCAGCGGCAGCAGACAAAAAGCAAAUUAGUCGACUCUGUCGAUUCUCCUCUCCCUCUCCCGUGGUCCCGCACCCUCUCUCAGUCUCCCUUUCCCAGUGUUCCCUCCUCUCCCAGUCUCCCUCUCCCAGUGCCCAGCCGGGCCAUGCCCCCGGCCCACUCCCUGGGUGGGGCUGCUCCAGACAUGGCCCCAGGUGUCCCACCGCAGUCUCGCCUCCACCUGGCUCCGGCUGUGCUGGCGCUGACACUGCUGGGCGGGCAUCAGUGCCUGCCUGGGGCUGGGGAGGCAUCGCUGCCCUUCGGCUCCACCUGGCCCGAGCCCAGCUCCAGCCCCGACAGAGGCUCUGGUUCUGUCCCCGACCUUGGCCCCAUUCCCUGCUUCGGCCCCAGCUCCUCCCAGGGCCCGCAGAGGACACAGGCGGCGCAGUCGCUGCCGCUGCCUCCACUGCAGCUUCCCCAGCCCGAGCUCCGCCACUUGGCAGCGAGGCCGCUAGCCCCGAGCCGCCGCUGUCGCGUUCCAAAGAGCGAAUGUCUGCGGAUGCCCAGCCCAGGGAGGGAAGGCGCGGGAGGCCCUGCAGGAGCGCUACGGGCUGGGUUCACUGCUGGGGCACGGCGAUUUCAGCAGAGUUUUCGCAGCCAUGCGGCUCUUGGAUGGUGCCCCGGUGAGCAGCGGGGCUGGUGGCGGGCGGAGAAGUUGGAGGAGGAGGAGCAGGGCGGAGGAGAAGGACAAGGAGGAGGAGGAGGGUGGAGGAGAAGGAGGAG
rnacentral:lncRNA from 1 species